rnacentral:rRNA from 1 species
UAAGGAAUAUUGGUCAAUGGACGCAAGUCUGAACCAGCCAUGCCGCGUGGAGGAUGAAGGUCCUCUGGAUUGUAAACUUCUUUUCUCGAUGAAGAAAAAGCCGGUAUCAACUGGUCUUGACGGUAAUUGAGGAAUAAGCACCGGCUAACUCCGUGCCAGCAGCCGCGGUAAUACGGAGGGUGCAAGCGUUAUCCGGAUUCACUGGGUUUAAAGGGAGCGUAGGUGGGUUGGUAAGUCAGUGGUGAAAUACCCGAGCUUAACUUGGGAACUGCCAUUGAUACUGCUAGUCUUGAAUAUCGUAGAGGUAUGCGGAAUAUGUCAUGUAGCGGUGAAAUGCUUAGAUAUGACAUAGAACACCGAUUGCGAAGGCAGCAUACUAUGCGAAUAUUGACACUGAUGC